UCAUGUUCUAGUAUAGCAAUUAUACCGUGAAACUGCGAAUGGCUCAUUAAAUCAGUUAUCGUUUAUUUGAUAAUACCUUACUACUUGGAUAACCGUGGUAAUUCUAGAGCUAAUACAUGCUGAAAAUCCCGACUUCGGAAGGGAUGUGUUUAUUAGAUAAAAAACCAAUGCCCUUCGGGGCUCUUUGGUGAUUCAUGAUAACUUUACGGAUCGCAUAGCCUUGCGCUGGCGACGGUUCAUUCAAAUUUCUGCCCUAUCAACUUUCGAUGGUAAGGUAUUGGCUUACCAUGGUUUCAACGGGUAACGGGGAAUUAGGGUUCGAUUCCGGAGAGGGAGCCUGAGAAACGGCUACCACAUCCAAGGAAGGCAGCAGGCGCGCAAAUUACCCAAUCCCGACACGGGGAGGUAGUGACAAUAAAUACUGAUACAGGGCUCUUUUGGGUCUUGUAAUUGGAAUGAGUACAAUUUAAACCUCUUAACGAGGAACAAUUGGAGGGCAAGUCUGGUGCCAGCAGCCGCGGUAAUUCCAGCUCCAAUAGCGUAUAUUAAAGUUGUUGCAGUUAAAAAGCUCGUAGUUGAAACUUGGGCCUGGCUGGCGGGUCCGCCUCACCGCGUGCACUCGUCCGGCCGGGCCUUCCUUCUGAAGAACCUCAUGCCCUUCACUGGGCGUGUUGGGGAAUCAGGACUUUUACUUUGAAAAAAUUAGAGUGUUCAAAGCAGGCCUUUGCUCGAAUACGUUAGCAUGGAAUAAUAAAAUAGGGCGUGCGUUUCUAUUUUGUUGGUUUCUAGAGACGCCGCAAUGAUUAACAGGAACAGUCGGGGGGCAUCAGUAUUCAGUUGUCAGAGGUGAAAUUCUUGGAUUUACU
rnacentral:rRNA from 1 species